rnacentral:tRNA from 1 species
CGGAGUGUGGUGUAACGGCUAACAUUCCUGUUUUGGGAACAGGCGACUCAGGGUUCGAAUCCCUGCACUCCGACAA